GCAAACUACUUAGGCGGAGUUAGGUUCAAUUCCUAAGGAGGACAUAAAUGUGUUAGGUUCACUUGCUAACUUCUUAGCGAUUUAGAAUUUUUUUUCAUUCAUUUGGUUCAUAUUCCUUUUUGUUGGGAAGUAAUGCCACAAAAGACAAUAAAAUGCUCACGUUCAAAUUAAGGUAUAAGAAAUAUGGUUUUUAUGGUAUUAGUUAGCAUAAAAGACUUUUUCUAGAUCUUCUGGAGCUCUCUUCUGCCUCCCUUUUUUCCCAAGCCUCCCCCUCCUUGUCUUCCUCCUUCUUUCUUUUCGUUUUCUCUCUCUCUUUUACUUCCCUAUCAAACCCCCUCCGCUCCACUCUGCCUAACACACAUUCACAUUUUUACUUCAGUGGCUUGAAUCAAAAUUUGACGGUUUUGUUGUUAGGGGGAGAUGGUAGGGAAGUUGUUCUGAUUGAUUUUAUCUUUUCUGAUGUUUCUAGAGAAAGAAAUAGUGUUCUUUGUUUCAACUUUGUUGCUGUCUCCCAAGAAGAUAGAAUCUGUGUUCUCACUCAGUUCUUGAUCCUUCCGCACUUCAAAACUCAAGGUUGAGUUUUAUCCAAUUACGAGAGAAUGAUACAGUAUUGGAAGAGGAUUAAACUU
rnacentral:misc_RNA from 1 species